rnacentral:lncRNA from 1 species
UUUUUUUUUUCGCGAAAAAUGUAAAAAUUUCAAUCGAUUGCAAGCCAGAAACUAUGUGACCCCGGCGUGAUGCUAGGAUUACCCUCGCAUAGAGAGAACUGCGCAGUUUUCCUCGCUGUGAGGAGAUUCGACCGAAUCUCUCUCUUUUUCGCACGCGACAUCGUGAAUAUGAUCCUGGCAGCGGACCAGGACUUCAUUUUAAGCAUCGACGGUCUCCGGCCACAUUCCACGCCAUAAUUCCGUAGCGGCUCCGCCACAAAGGGACGCGGCGUCUUCCUAUUCUGCUAUCAUGGUCAGGUAUUCUCUUGAAAGAAUUUUUUUUACAUUUUAUUUUGUCUCGAAAAUAGGCGUCCCCCUUGCACUUAUUCUUCUUAUAUGAAAAGACGAAUGACAGAAGUUAAACAUUUAAACUGCUCAAUUACUGCUCAUUAAAUUUGUGUAAAUACGUGAAUUAACUCUGGUUAUACAACUCUGAUUAUACAACAGUGAUAUCUGUGGAGAUAUUGAUAAAAAUUUGAACGUUUUUUUAUAUUAUCUUUCAGAAAAAAACAGAAUAUUAUACCUAGGUCGUCCAUAAAAACGUAAAAAGAGAAUUAAUUAAUUUUGAAGCAAUUGUUAAUGAAGACAUUUAAUUUGGAUUUUAAUUCGCGGAUUUAUAAAAUUUAUACAUGGUAUUUCGAAUGGGUUGAGCUUGAAUUAGAAUUUUGUUUUUAUGUUCAAAAAAGAAGAUUUAACGAUCUUGUCUUGUAAACUACCAACGUGAUAUUGAUAUAAAAAGUCAAAUGUCGAUCGUAUAAUGUUGGGAUAUUUCAUGUUUUUGACGUAGGUGCGAAUCUAUCGGACUCGUGAUGGCCGCCGUGAAUUAGAUGAUCGUGUAAACUCCGAUAGAAAUAGCUCCUGCUGUCCGGAAAUAGAGCGUAAUUUGCAGAAUCGAGAUGUUGAUUCUAUGUUGACGCGAAUCGAUAAGAUCGAUAAGUUGCCGCUGAUAUGAAGGAAAAUAAAACGCGAGACACGCAGACAGAAAGCCACGAAACCUUCACCUGCGAAACUGCUCCUUUCCGGUUUUGACGAGCUGAAAACAAGUAUGUGUCACCUUGUUAACGUGACAUUUUAUGAUAUGCAUGUUUCGUCUUCUCAUCACAGAACCCGAAAUAUCUGAUUCUCACCGAAUAUAGUGCAAGUAAUAAGAUGUGCACCCGUCUUAAAAUGUUGACAGUAAAAUUUUCACGGUUUCGCACAUUUCUCACAUUAUUCGGAGGUGCUUCAAACGAAAUCAUUUGUGCAAAAUACGAAAAAGCCGCCGAGAGAUUAUCAAGCAUUAUAUUAAAAUUUUAUAUAUGUCUUUAUUACUCUUUUUUUUUCAAAUAUUGUUAUUCAAUCAAAUAUUAUUGUUAUGUACAUUUUAUAGAUUACUUUUCGUACAUAUUUUAUAUACUUCGACAACAUUCGGAUCCUUCUUUUCAUAAAAACCUUCUUCGUAUUUUCACAUCUCUUGAGAAUACGCGUCCUCGAAACUCGUAACAUUCAAUAUAAAAAUGUUUGAUUCUAUAAAUAAAAAACACAGAUAUUCCAUUAAAGAGAAAUGAAACAUACAAAAUUGAAAAUCUCAAGAGGAUUAAAGAGGGAGCAGUUUUGAGCAAUUUUUGCUCGUUUCGAUUCGCUAUUGAAUGAUAGACGUGAGAUAAAUUACCUUACGGAAAGAGAAAAAAAGAAUGUAAGAGUACGUCUCAUAAAGAAAAAGAGCGUACAGUCGAUUUGCUGAUUCGCGAGGAAAUUAUCCGGAAAAGUAAUCUUUGAUAAGGCUACAUUUUUGGGAAUGUGCACAAAUAUUUUCAUUACACGAUCGUUAAUCGCAAGGUUAUCACGCGUAGUAUAUCACGGUGGCAUUAAUUCCAUCAUUCAGUACGCGUCUUGCAAUUUAUCGAACAGAAUGAUAACGUUUUUUAUGUCUCGCGGUCGUGGCCUAAUCAGUCGUCCAUGUCGAUAUUUCCGAAGAAAAAUAUAUUGUAACGUUAAAAUAGACUGCGAGUCUAGUCUAAAUGCGAGUCUAAUUAUAGUAACGCGAAUGAUCAUCAUUGUUAUUCAGCGGAUUUUUACAAAGUCUAUCAAUCGAUGGUAAUUUCGAUAACAAACAUCGUCUUGGGCAAAAUCUAUAAGUGAUAGACGAGAGUUAUCUUCUUCCGUCUCAAGCAGCAGUCCAAGAAUGACGUAAUGUUUCCUAAUAGACUUCAUCGGACUUCGAAAUCUGGCACAAGUGGCCGAAGGAAACAUUCGCUUGGAAAAAGCCAAUUUCGAUGCGAAACACACAUCUGGUAACAUAAAUAGUACAGCUGCUUUUCUCAAAAAGACAGAAAUCUAUGGCACAAAUUAGACAACAGAAUUCAUAAAUCUCGAUUUCGAAGCUACAUUCACGCAAAAAUAAACUGUAAAUCUAUUGUUAUGUAAUUAUGAUAUUAUUUUGGAAUAACCCUGCCCUAGAUUUAAUGUCGUAACGCAAAAUUUUUUAAAGUUAUACAAAUAAAAAAUUACAGAUUUUAUGUAUGGCUUUUUUACGCAAAUUGCUCGAUUUCGAGCAGCUAGAAUCGAAUAAUUUCGAGAAAAUCAAUGACUCUAUCUGCAACUACGGAAAUGGGGAACAGACCGAUUACGUUAAUCGCCUCAUAACUCGCCUCUAAACGCUCGUAAGUCCGCUCGUAAUUUUUUAUCACACUGGUAUAACUAUGUUGCGCGAUGAAGCGGAUUUUUCUCGAUCGUAAUUGUAAUUGGAAAA